AUUAGUUUUCGCACUCUAACUUUAGUUUGAGUGAAUGGAUCUCAUUGAAAUUUUACCAUAAGGUUCAAUACCACAAAAGGAAGGUGGGGAUUGAUUUUGGGGGUUAUGGUACUAACAGUUAAGGAAUUAGGGGCCAAAAGGGGCCAAAAAUAAGCAUUUUUGUAACUUCCAGACAUAACUUGUGUGUAAGUGUAUGGAUCUCUCUGACAUUGUACCACAAGGUUCCAUAUCACAAAGAGAAUGCUGGGAUUGAUUUUGGGGGUAAUUGUCUCCAAAUUUUAGGAAUUAGGGGCCAAAAAGGGGCAAAAAACAAGCAUUUUUCUAGUUUCAUGACAAUAACUUGUUUGUAAGUGUAUGGAUCUUUAUGAAAUUGUACUACAAGGUUCCAUAUCACAAAGGGAAGGCUGGGAUUGAUUUUGGGGGUUUUCCCUCAAAAUUUUAGGAAUUAGGGGCCAUAAAAGGGCAAAAAAAACAUGCAUUUUUCUAGUUUCAGGACAAUAACUUGUGUGUAAGUGUAUGGAUCUUUAUGAAAUUGUACUGCAAGGUUCCAUAUCACAAAGGGAAAGCUGGAAUUGAGUUUGGGGGUAAUUGCCCUAAACGUUUAGGAAUUUGGGGCCAAAAAUGGGGCCAAAAAACAAGCAUUUUUCUAGUUUCCAGACAAUAACUUGUGUUCAAGUGUAUGAAUCUCUCUGAAAUUGUACUGCAAGGUACCAUACCACAAAGGGAAAGCUGGGAUUGAGUUUGGGGGCGAUGAAUCAUAAGGGGGUUCAAAAAAUUGGGGGGGGGGAUUUUUUUUUUCCUUUUUUUUCUUUAACAUUUUCCAUUUUAAAUUGGUUAUUUCUGAUUUAUAUAUAAAAGCAAAUAAUAAUGAUAUGGUUUGAAUAGGCAUACAUGUGAACCUCCCGACCUCCCGUUGAAAAAAUCCCGUGUAUGAAAUUUUUCAUGAAUGAAAAAUUUCUGCCCAACAUAACAUCUCAGGCAUCUGGUGUAACUGACAUUACCUGAAGUUAUAUUUUACCUGUAAAUCAAUUAACAUGCAUAAUUAUAUGGCUUCACUUGUCAGCUUGGGUGUCAAACAUACUGGUAAGCAACGAUUUUUACCUCAGGCUAACUGCCGUUGUGUAACAAAAACUGUGUAUUUAUUGGGUUACUUCCCUUGAUUUAUCCUGUUUUAAGUUACUUUCCUUUUAAUAAUGAAAAUUUUUAAAAGAAUAUAAAUAAAAUAUAAAUUGAACAAAUAAUCAUAAAAGGAUGGCUAUUAAAUGAUUUUAAAUGUCUUAGGACAAAUAAAAAAAUAAUAAUUUGAAAAUUAUUUGAGGAUUCUAUACUUUCUUUUAAGGCUUAAAUUGAAAUUUAUAUAAUAACUAUGACCCUAACUUUACAGAUAGAAUGAAUUUCUGAGUUUGCAAAUAAAAACUAUUUGCAAGAGAAAAAAAAAAAAAAUAAAAACUAUUUGCAGACAGCUAAACAAAUGUUCUGGUUGCAAUGAUUGUUUUAUAGAAUA